rnacentral:rRNA from 1 species
GGUGGAAUUCUCAGAUUUGUUAAAGACUGACUUAUGCGAAAGCAUUUGCCAAGGAUGUUUUCAUCGAUCAAGAACGAAAGU